GCUCCCUCCGCGCCAUCAGAUCCUACGAGGCAGCAGUAAGGAAAUAAUUGGUCAAUGGGCGGAAGGCCUGAACCAGCCAUGCCGCGUGCAGGAGAGGCCACGGUUGUAACUGCUUUUGCAGGGGAAUAAACCCCGGUCGUGACCGGGGCUGAAUGUACUCUGAGAAUAAGGAUCGGCUAACUCCGUGCCAGCAGCCGCGGUAAUAC
rnacentral:rRNA from 1 species